UAACACAAGGGGUGCUUCGGCUGAGAUGGGAUUAACCCGAACUCUAUGAACCUGAAUGAGUUAAGACUCGCGUAGGGAUGUGAAUAAGUAA
rnacentral:ncRNA from 1 species